rnacentral:rRNA from 1 species
AUGGACGACAAAGCGAUAGGUCGCCAGAAGUUGCUUGAUGUCGAGUUUAAAAAGUCUCCACAAUUGGCAGCCAGGUGGCUGGCCCGGUCAGCGCACACACUUUUGCAGAACCCCCUGCCGUUUUCUUUAAUCAACCUCAGCUACAGCCAUUUCGUGAUCCCGCCGGAGUUCGGCGGCAUUCCCGUGGCUGUCAGCCUUGACCUCCGGGGGAACGACCUCGCCGGCGUGAUCCCGCAGGUGGGCUCGCUCGUCAACCAGGGCCCCACCGCCUUCGACGACAACCCGAGGCUCUGCGGGUUUCCGCUCAAGAUCGAUGCUGCAGUGGCAGUGCCGGAGGACUGCUCGUCGGCCGCUUCCGAGGACUGGUUCCGGCAGGCGCGCCUCGCCGCCGUCAAAUGGAUCCUUGAAACUCGGGGCUGCUUCGGGUUCGGCCACCGCACGGCGUACCUGGCCAUCGCCUACUUCGACCGCUUCUUCCUCCGGCGACGUGUCGAUAGGGCGGCCAUGCCGUGGGCGGCGCGCCUCCUGUCCGUGGCCUGCGUCUCCGUGGCGGCCAAGAUGGAGGAGUACUGCGCGCCGGCGCUGUCGGAGCUCGACGCCGGCGGCGUCUACGAGUUCUGCUCCGCCUCCGUUCGCCGGAUGGAGCUGCUCGUGCUGUCCACGCUCAGCUGGCGCAUGGCCGCCGUUACGCCGUUCGACUACCUCCCUUGCUUCUCCUCCCGGGCUCCCGGCUCGACCGGCACGACGGCCGCGGCGGCGGCGGGCAUGACCCCGCCCGCGUCGCCCUCAAGUCCAUCGGCUCCAUCUUUGCCACAGCCGAAGGAGCAUGUACAUGCCUGCUACAGCAUGAUGGUUGGCGACUUGAAAAGCAGAAUGAGCCAUGGCAAGAGAUCAUUGCCACGUCCAGACUCCAAUGAAGUUGCCACCAGUACAUAUGAUUCUGUUCUUGUUGAUGAUGUUGCCGACACCGCCGCCUUCAUCGCAGCUGUGUCGGAGAUGAACAAGCAGAUCAGACUGGCAGCUGGAUGGCGGCAUCGUGUACAGGGUCGUCCCCGGCCGCGGCACCGACGCCCGACGGCUUCGCCAACUCCAUUACCGUUGUCGGUGAGGCUGUCCAUCGUUCAGGGCGCGGCGAGGGGACUGGCAUACCUGCACGAGUGCAGCUCUCGCCGGUACGUGCAUGGCUGCAUCAAGUCAUCCAAGAUCCUGCUCGAGGACGAGCUUCGUCUGCACGUUUCCAGCUUCGGCCUAACCCGCCUCGUCGCCGGCGCGCACAAGACGGCGCAGUUGAGGAAGCUCGGCAGCAGCGUGGCGUGCGCGCUCCGCAGCGGCGCCCUGUCGGCGCUGUCGUACCUGGCGCCGGAGCUGCGCGCGCCGGGGGGCACGGCCGCGGCGGUGACGCAGAAAACCGGGAAAAAGCCUUGGCUGGUGGCUUUCUUGGGGUACGUGCAACCCAAGUUUCUCUGCAUUGGCAGCCACUCCGACGACAUCUCCAGAGACGAGGAGGAGCUGGCGCUCCGUACCGCGCUCGAGCGCUCACAGGUAAGUUUUCAUAGUAAUCUGACGACCAGGAGUUCUCCUAUGAAUAGGCCCGCAUGCCUGCACGGUUGCACCACGGAGCUACCGAGCUUGUUUUGUAGCUUAACUGAUUCCAGAGUUGUUAUUUUCAGGAUCCUCAUCUUGGAGCAUUUCAUCUUGUGGCCCUCGGUGUUGAAGAAGAAUGGGAAAGCGCAACUCGAACAAUGUCAAGAAGAGCAUCUGGCAGCUCCUCUGCGGCUGUGGGUCGCCUCAGACAAGAAACUAAUUAAGAUCAGAAGAGCUCCUCUGUUGUUGUGGUUCACCAUAUGUGAAGUGGUGUGGUUGUGUCAUGCUAGCUUCUUCUGCAGCAAGGAGCAUGUAAACGCGAACACCAGUUGCAGCUUGAGGAGGAGAUCCGGCAAAGGCAGGCUGCUCGUGUUGCAGCCAACUUGCAUCCGAAUUCGCUGGAGCAGGAGGAGGAGGAAAAGGAGGUGGGGGGAGGAGGGUGAGCUGCAAUCGGAGGCGGAGCAGGACUCUCAGCCCAUGGAGGAGGUGGAUCCGAAGGAGGACGACGCGGCGGAGCCCGAGGAGGAGGCGGAGCCGACUGUGGGCUUCGGCAUGAAGGACGCCAUGGCGGAGUUCGAGGUCGCCCAGGCGGAGGAGAUGAAGAAGCAAACCGCCAUCCUCAAGUCCAUCCAGAAAGAGGCUUAUGUGGACUUGUGA